UCAAGCUAAAAAGAGCGCAGGGUGGAUGCCUUGGCACUAAGAGCCGAUGAAAGACGUGAUAAGCUGCGAUAAGCUACGGGGAGGAGCACAUAUCCAUUGAUCCGUAGAUUUCUGAAUGGGGAAACCCGGCUGAGCAUACCUCAGUCACCGUGCACUGAAUCCAUAGGUGUACGGAGGGAACCCGGUGAACUGAAACAUCUAAGUAGCCGGAGGAAGAGAAAGAAAACUCGAUUUUCAAAGUAGCGGCGAGCGAAAUGGAAAGAGCCCAAACCGGAGUGCGUGCACUCCGGGGUUCGGACUGCAUUUAUGACUUCUGACUGUAGCGGAACGGUUCUGGAAAGACCGGCCAGAGAGGGUGAGAGCCCCGUAGGCGAAACGGAAAGAAGCAGAGCAGGAUCCAGAGUACCACGAGACACGAGAAACCUUGUGGGAAUGAGCGGGGACCACCCCGUAAGGCUAAAUACUCCUUAGUGACCGAUAGAGCAGAGUACUGUGAAGGAAAGGUGAAAAGGACCCCGGGAGGGGAGUGAAAGAGAACCUGAAACCCUGUGUUUACAAACUGUGGAAGUACCAUACGAGUACAACCGCGUACUUUUUGUAGAACGGUCCGGCGAGUUACGUUUACUGGCGAGGUUAAGCACUUAAGGUGCGGAGCCGAAGGGAUACCAAGUCUUAACAGGGCGUAAAGUCAGUGUACGUAGACCCGAAACCGGGUGAUCUACCCAUGUCCAGGCUGAAGUUGCCGUAAAAGGCAAUGGAGGGCCGAACGCACAUCCGUUGAAAAGGGUGGCGAUGAGGUGUGGGUAGGGGAGAAAUUCCAAUCGAACCCGGAGAUAGCUGGUUCUCCUCGAAAUAGCUUUAGGGCUAGCCUCGUGUUAACCUUGUGGAGGUAGAGCACUGAAUAUCCUAGGGGGCGUCAAAGUCUACCGAAGAUUAUCAAACUCCGAAUGCCAUAAAGGUGAUGCACGGGAGUCAGACUGCACGAGAUAAGUUGGGUGGUCAAAAGGGAAAGAGCCCAGACCUACAGCUAAGGUCCCAAAGUGCGUGUUAAGUGGAAAAGGAUGUGGGAUUUCGAAGACAACUAGGAUGUUGGCUCAGAAGCAGCCAUACAUUCAAAGAGUGCGUAAUAGCUCACUAGUCGAGAGGUCCUGCGCCGAAAAUGUCCGGGGCUAAAACACGACACCGAAGCUGAGGAACAUGAAAAUGUUGGUAGAGGAGCAUUCUUAACGGAACGAAGCUGUACCGAAAGGAGCAGUGGACUGCUAAGAAGAGAGAAUGCCGGAAUGAGUAGCGAGAUGGAGGUGGGAAUCCUCCAGGCCGAAUAUCCAAGGUUUCCAGAGUAAAGCUGAUCUGCUCUGGGUAAGUCGGGGCCUAAGGCGAGGUCGAAAGACGUAGUCGAUGGACAACAGGUUGAGAUUCCUGUACUGCAAUGUAACAGAACUGUGGGGACACAGAGAGAAAGUGGGACCCGGGAGUGGAAAAACCGGGGCAAGCGGGGUACCGGAAUGACAGGCAAAUCCGUCAUUCAACGGGAAGACGUAAUGCGUACCGAAAUAAGAGUAGGGAAGUCCAUGAGCUAGCUGUCAAGAAAAGCCGCUAUUGUUUGCAUUGUACCCGUACCGUAAACCGACACAGGUGGAUGAGGAGAGAAUCCUAAGGCCGACGGAAGAAGUAUUGUUAAGGAACUCGGCAAAAUGACUCCGUAACUUCGGGAUAAGGAGUGCCAGGAAACUGGCCGCAGAGAAUUGGUCCAAGCAACUGUUUAGCAAAAACACAGGUUUAUGCAAAACCGUAAGGUGAAGUAUAUGAGCUGACGCCUGCCCGGUGCUGGAAGGUUAAGGGGAGUGCUUAGCGCUUGCGCGAAGGUGCGAACUUAAGCCCCAGUAAACGGCGGCCGUAACUAUAACGGUCCUAAGGUAGCGAAAUUCCUUGUCGGGUAAGUUCCGACCCGCACGAAAGGCGUAAUGAUUUGGACGCUGUCUCGACAAUACAUCCGGUGAAAUUGAAGUACCAGUGAAGAUGCUGGUUACCUGCGCCAGGACGGAAAGACCCCAUGGAGCUUUACUCUAGCUUGAUACUGGGAUUCGAUAUUGUAUGUACAGGAUAGGUGGGAGGCUGAGAACUCAUGACGCCAGUUGUGAGUGAGCCGCUGUUGGGAUACCACCCUUGCAGUAUUGGAUUUCUAACCUGCCGCCGUAAACCGGCGGGGGGACAAUGUCAGGUGGGGAGUUUGACUGGGGCGGUCGCCUCC
rnacentral:rRNA from 1 species